GGGGCGUAGCUAGAAAGAAACGAUGUGGAAGCAACUCAAGACGCAAAAAUUUUUGGGACCCUAUUAUGCAGAAUUUUUUUUUUUUUUCGGUUUUCGGUCAUAGGACGGUUAAAAGAGGAGCUAUAUGUAGAUAAAAAUUUAUGAAUGUAAAACUAUUAAUAAAUCUUCUGAAUAUAGUAAUACAUAAACAACACAUAUUUGUGAUACAGAAUUUACUCAAAAUUGUCCAAAAUCUGCUCUUCGGGUCUGGGCAGAAACAAACUUCUCUAUUACUUUGUCAACAUUCACACUGAAAUCCCGAUGAAUAUGCAGUAAUGCUAUGUAACUUUCGUUGUUCAUUGUUGAUCGUACAUUUGUUUUCAAUUACAUACGUAGUACCGUGACUGAUAGAUCUCAGGCCAUCAUGGCAUGGUAGCACUCGCGAGAUGUUAUAAACCAGCGUACGUGUUCGGCAUCGAGCGACCUCCCAAUUGAAUUCGUCAAAAUUACAUGCUAGGUCAGUUUCGUAUGUUUCAGACAAUAUUGAGAUUUGUUCGUUUGUGAUAUUUCCUACAACACGAUGAAGCAGAUACAGCACAAAGAAGCGAUUUUCUGAUAACUUGACGCGACUCCACUCUCCAGUUGCCUUAUCAUAUGGUCUAUGAACGCAAAAAAUAAUGAGACUUUCCAAUACUGUUUUGGCGUGGUUGCAGGGUGAUUGGCUCCGGUAGUCUGUCAACCACAUCGCCUCGGCAUAUUUUCAACGAUAUCGAAGGGAUCUGAUAAUUCUAAUGCCGAUUGGUACAUCUCAUUCCAAACUGAUGAACUGUACACUGUAAAAUGUGCUCCAAAACUACAUAUCUUAGACUGAGUAUUACAAAUUCAAAAGUAAAAAUCUUGUAAAAGAUACAAGUAACCUUCCGAUUUUGUCAUAAUCUCCAAAAAAAAAAAUUAUUUUGAAACCAAAUGUCGUUAUUUAAUGAUAUUUCAUCAAUUAAAAAAAGUGACAACAUAGGUGUUUCCUUUAACAUUCAAUUUAUAAAUUUUUAUUUUGCCAUUUCUUUUUUUGCAUGCCGAAUCAAUGUGCACGCAACUUCGGAGCUACGAUCUUUUUCUGAAUGAACAGCUUCAUCAACACUUGUAACUAGGUUGUCAAACUAAUAUCCUGGGAUAGACGGAAAAGACACCAACAGUCUCCGAUUCCGAUUGACCAACUCAUCUCUCUCUCUCUCUUCUGCUUUUUUUUUUUUUUUUUUUUUGUGAAAACGACGUGGAUGCACGUGCUGUCGUGCCUCCGGGUAGCUACGCCCCUGUACAGGA
rnacentral:lncRNA from 1 species